UCUCCGUAGGUGAACCUGCGGAGGGAUCAUUACAAGUGACCCGGUCUUACCACCGGGAUGUUCAUAACCCUUUGUUGUCCGACUCUGUUGCCUCCGGGGCGACCCUGCCUUCGGGCGGGGGCUCCGGGUGGACACUUCAAACUCUUGCGUAACUUUGCAGUCUGAGUAAACUUAAUUAAUAAAUUAAAACUUUUAACAACGGAUCUCUUGGUUCUG
rnacentral:misc_RNA from 1 species